GUCGUUCAAACACAUGUAAGCCUAAACAAAAAUGUACCUGAAGUAAAAUGGAUAUAUGCACCUUUUAUGGAUGUGGUAUACCUACGUUUAAUUCAGUCAGAAAUUCAAAUUCACUUGAAGCUAGAGAUUCAAAGAAUAAACAUUCCAAAAAUGUUAGUUUCAAAACUGCACAUGAAGCUUUCACCUGAGAACAGCUUGGUAACUCGGGACUUAUGAAGCUAGCACAGCUCGUGAUAUUACUUUCUCUAUCGGCAAUGAACAUGGACAGUAGAUAUUUAAACAUGGAUCAUGAGCUUCUACAUCUCUGCCUCUCGGGGUUCGACUGUCCAGAUCCGCGCCACGUCUGCUAUAGGCCAACUAAUGACUCUUUCUUUGGCCACUGUAUUGCAACAGCAUUACACAGGAUUAACAAUCGUAAACGUAGUACUGGACCAUAUUAUCGUUGGCAAUUGAAACGGGUUCAUUAUCGACACGUGAACCAACAACUUGUAACAUCCCAUCACCAGCGGCAGAGGAAGCACCAUCGUCGUCGACGUCUAAUACGCCAUCAACAUCGCAGAAAAAGAUUUCGCAGAGAUACGCUUGGCAGCAGCUAUCAUAAACACAAACAAGAAAAUUAUUUUAUGGUGGACCGUUCCGUGAAGACUGUGGACAAAGUAGAAGAUCCAUUGCCCAUAGUGCGACAGAACUCUUCCCCGCAAAUAUUUCAACAAACGAGACAACCCAGUCAACCUAGUUCUAGGAAGGAACGGGACACCAGUGCAAUAAGUAUAGACGAUGGUUAUGUUGACAACGAUGAUGAUCAUGAAGACGACAUAGAAACCAUUCAAGCAAUAUCAAAUACAACAAGUGAUGAUGAUGAUGGUGGUGGUAAUGAUGGUGGUGAAAACGUUCGCAAGACUAUUGAUGAAGAAAACAUUCAAGUAGUAUUUAAUACAGACACAGCAGAUGAUAAUAAUGAUGAUGAUGGUCAAAACAUCAAGGGCAUUAUAAAAGAAAAACACAUUCGAUCAAUAUUAGUUAAUGAAGAUGAAGAUGAAGAUGACGACGACGAUGAUGACCUUGAAAAUAUUGUGAAGUCAGUAGGCGAAACAACGGUAACCCAUAUAACCACUGUAAACACAGGAUAUGAGGGUGAGCGUAAAUACGUUGACAAUCUUAUUGCAGCGCUUGAUAGUGCCGCCGUUGAAGAUGAUGACGACGACGACGACGAUGAUGAUGAUGAUGAUGUAAUUGCACAGCUUGACGACGAUGAUGAUGAUGAUGACGACGAUGAUGAUGAUUUAAUUGCACAGCUUGACGACGACGAUGAUGAUGACGACGAUGAUGAUGAUGAUGAUGAUGAUGACGACGAUGAUGACGAUGAUGAUGUAAUUGCAGAGCUUGAUAAUGCCAUCGUUGAAGAUGAUGACGACGACGAUGAUGAUGAUGUAAUUGCACAGCUUGACGACGACGAUGAUGAUGAUGACGACGACGAUGAUGAUGUAAUUGCAGAGCUUGAUAAUGCCAUCGUUGAAGAUGAUGACGACGACGAUGAUGAUGUAAUUGCACAGCUUGACGACGACGAUGAUGAUGACGACGACGAUGAUGAUGUAAUUGCAGAGCUUGAUAAUGCCAUCGUUGAAGAUGAUGACGACGACGACGAUGAUGAUGUAAUUGCACAGCUUGACGACGACGAUGAUGAUGAUGAUGACGACGAUGAUGAUGAUUUAAUUGCACAGCUUGACGACGAUGAUGAUGAUGACGACGACGACGACGAUGAUGAUGAUGUAAUUGCAGAGCUUGAUCGUGCCGUCGUUGAAGAUGAAUAAGAUGAAAUGGAAGUUCUGCAGUUGCUGCAUGGUAAAACUCAUCAAACGAAAUGAUACAGAUAUUGCAAACUGACAUUAACAUAACAACAUGAGAACAAACGAAGUGACCAAAAUGGAAAGUAGGCCAUAACGAAGGACGACAUGGAACAUGCUAAUGAUCCAAACAAAUGCUGGACAUGAUAUAACAAAAAGGUGUAUGUGUGAUGCAAAUUUAUUGAAAGGCCAGUAUUUUGAUAUAACAUUUAACAAAAAGAAAAAAAAAAGGCUAAAACCUAUUCGAAAACUAUUAGCAAACUCUAUUUAAAGGAAACUCAAAUCCUGAAGAGAGAGAGAGAGAGAGAGAGAGAGAGAGAGAGAGAGAGAGAGAGAGAGAGAGAGAGAGAGAGAGAGAGCGAGAGAGAGAGAGAGAGAGUUUAUGUGUGUUGAGAGAGAGACAAAGACAGAGUGAGAUACACAGAGAGUAUGUGUGUGGAUAGAGAGAGAGAGAGAGAGAGAGAGAGAGAGGACACACACACACACACACACACACCACAUAGACAAUGGUGAUAAAAUCAUGUAAUAUGUCAAAAGUAAUAAAACUAUUCCAAACAAGCUAUAAAUAGUGAACAGACUGUUCUCAAAGAAUAAGGAAUAUUGAAACGGCUGAAGAAAUGUAGCAAGAAGAAAAUCCUGGGCAAAAGGAAGAAAUGUACAAGCACAGAAGAAAGAAUAUUGAAACAGCUGAAGAAAUGUAGCAAGAAGAACAUCUUUGGCAAAAUGGAGAAAUGUAAAGGCCCAGACGAAAAAACUCCUUGGCAAAAGGAACAACUGUAAAGGCACAGAAGAAAGAAGAUUGAAACAACUGAAGGAAAGUAGCAGGAAGAAACGCCUUGACAAAAUGAAGAAAUGUGAAAGCACAGAUGAAAUAUCUGUCACACAGGAACCUCUAGAUCGUCUGUCCCAAAAGAUUUGGAGGUUGUCUAACAUUCAGGAACUACAACUAUGGAAUAUUAAAGUACAAAAUAGAAAUGAUUUGUUUGACUGUAAUUUAUAACGGUUCACACGUACACUGGUCCAACAAAAACAAAAUCCGCAUAGGGAGGCAUGUUCCACCCACCCCCACCCCCACUCCACACACACUGACUUAAAAUGUAGGCCUUCUCCUGCGGGCUUGUGCCCUACUCACAUAUUCUUAAUCAGGCACGGGAAAACAGAGGCCCGCACCCCACCCCCCCACCCCCACCCCCCCCCCAAAAAAAACAACAACAACAACAACCAAACAAAUGUUGCGACAGUUAUAAUUUUAUUAUGUAUUAAUUUUCAUUUUGUUUUACGAUUCCCUCCAAACCUCACUCAAAGUUCCAUUGGCAUUUCACCUUAUGUCAUUGGGGGUCCCCUAAAUGGAUUUUCUGGAUCCGCCACUGGGGAAGCAAGUCAAUAUUAAAGCUAAUAGAAAAAGAUGCGAGUGGUAUGGAUUUAAAACUUAAUAUGUUUUAUAUUAAUGUUAACCUUAUAAAGUGACAUGCCAAUUCAUUGGUUCGUUCUUGACGCAAAGGGACUGUAUACGUUACAGGUGUUCUUUUAAUAAAAAUCCUUUUGUUUUUGUAACCAUGGUAUGUAUUUGGUAUUUGUAACUGUGAAGAUCAUGUGGAGUCUCAUGUUUCCUUCUUUAAAACUAGUUUUAUGAUGUUCAGCCAUACGUGUUCAUUUGAAAUAUUGUAAACACAUUUUAUCAGUUAAAAGGUCUAUGCUGUAAUGCUGCUGUAUAUAGCGAACUAGGACAUCCACCAAUGUAUGUGAAAAGGCAGACAGAAUAAUUAAAUAUUGGUUGAAAAUAAUUUCAAAUAAAAACUCUGUUAUGUACCUAGCGUAUGAUGUUUUAAGAAAAGAUGCUGAUGUGAACAUACUGUCACAGUGUAACAUUUACAACAAUAUUCAAAUGAAAUUUAUAUAUAUUUAGCUGUGUGUCUACGAUUCAAUUAAUUUUUAUUGUGUACCUGCAUUUAUGCAAUAAACGUUGAUCAUCA